AGAGUUUGAUCAUGGCUCAGGAUGAACGCUAGCGGGAGGCUUAACACAUGCAAGUCGAGGGGCAGCAUAGGGUAGCAAUACUCUGAUGGCGACCGGCAAACGGGUGAGUAACGCGUAUGUAACCUACCCUGUACAGGGGGAUAACCCGGAGAAAUUCGGACUAAUAUCCCAUAACAAUAUCCGGGGGCAUCUUUGGAUAUUUAAAGUUCCGGCGGUACGGGAUGGGCAUGCGUAACAUUAGCUAGUUGGUAAGGUAACGGCUUACCAAGGCUUUGAUGUUUAGGGGUCCUGAGAGGGUGGUCCCCCACACUGGUACUGAGACACGGACCAGACUCCUACGGGAGGCAGCAGUGAGGAAUAUUGGUCAAUGGGCGCAAGCCUGAACCAGCCAUCCCGCGUGCAGGAAGACGGCGCUAUGCGUUGUAAACUGCUUUUCCAGGGAGAGAAACUUGCGCACGUGUUGCGCAAUUGACGGUACCCUGGGAAUAAGCAUCGGCUAACUCCGUGCCAGCAGCCGCGGUAAUACGGAGGAUGCGAGCGUUAUCCGGAUUCAUUGGGUUUAAAGGGUGCGUAGGCGGACUAUUAAGUCAGUGGUGAAAUCCUGCAGCUUAACUGCAGAACUGCCAUUGAUACUGAUAGCCUUGAGUUUGGUUAAUGUAGGCGGAAUGUGUAAUGUAGCGGUGAUAUGCUUAGAUAUUACACAGA
rnacentral:rRNA from 1 species